rnacentral:rRNA from 1 species
CCUGGCACUAGUACGAGAGGACCGUGCUGGACGCACCGCUAGUGUACCUGUUGUGGCGCCAGCUGCACCGCAGGGUAGCUACGUGCUGAAGGGAUAAGCGCUGAAAGCAUCUAAGCGCGAAGCCCCCCCCCAAGAUGAGGCCUCCCCAUAGGGUCCCCGAAGACUACGGGGUUGAUAGGCUGCAGGUGUAAAGCCGGUAACGGCAAAGCCGAGCAGUACUAAUGGCCCGAACGGCUUUCCCG